rnacentral:rRNA from 1 species
AGGAAUAUUGGGCAAUGCCCGCAAGGGUGACCCAGCAACGCCGCGUGGAGGAUGAAUGUCGUAAGAUUGUAAACUCCUGUUAGAGGGGAAGAAUAGUACCGGUUGGACCGGUAUAUGACUGUACCCUCAGAGAAAGCCCCGGCUAACUACGUGCCAGCAGCCGCGGUAAUACGUAGGGGGCAAGCGUUGCCCGGAUUUACUGGGUGUAAAGGGCGCGCAGGCGGGAUAAAAAGUCAGUGGCGAAAUCCUACAGCUUAACUGUAGAACUGCCUUUGAUACUUUUAUUCUUGAGUUCGGGAGAGAGAGACGGAAUUCCAGGUGUAGUGGUGAAAUACGUAGAUAUCUGGAAGAACACCAGUUGCGAAGGCGGUCUCUUGGUCCGACACUGACGCUGAGGCGCGAAAGCGUGGGGAGCAAACA